rnacentral:rRNA from 1 species
UACGAAGGGGGCUAGCGUUGCUUGGAAUCACUGGGCGUAAAGCGCACGUAGGCGGGUUCUUAAGUCAGGGGUGAAAUCCUGGAGCUCAACUCCAGAACUGCCUUUGAUACUGGGAAUCUCGAGUCCGGGAGAGGUGAGUGGAACUGCGAGUGUAGAGGUGAAAUUCGUAGAUAUUCGCAAGAACACCAGUGGCGAAGGCGGCUCACUGGCCCGGUACUGACGCUGAGGUGCGAAAGCGUGGGGAGCAAACAGG